rnacentral:lncRNA from 1 species
AAGAAUCUCGUGGAGGAGUAUCUCCGUGAAAUAAAAUGCGAUGACCCCUCUAUCAAAGAGAAGCUGCAACACUUGUGUAACAUUCAUCAUUUUUUUAAUUUCCCUCUAAUUUCUUUUACAACCUUUUACGUCCGCCCUUGUAUGGAUAUAUAGUAAGCAUAAUACGUGAUAUGGCUUGGUGGUGUUAGGUAAAACCACAACUUUGAUUAUGGUGUAAUCCUCAGCUUCAAGAAUGGUGUUAAGCUCAGAGCCAUCAAAAGACAAUAAUUCUAUAAUACUGAGAGCAGCAUGAUGAAAUAAAUGUGAAAAACCGAAUUUUUAUAUUUAAAAUUCAUCAAAAACUCCAAUGUAGUUUCAGAGGAAAAAAUAUAUAUAUUUAACAUACACAGACAACAACAAGCUGUUGAAACUUUUCUAAGGCAAUUGAUAUGAAUCUAAGAAUGUCUGUCACUUCAUCACUCAAUCUCAGCUGUACAAAAAGUGCGUCCUAGAGGAGUUUCGUUUGUGAAAUUUGAAGGAUCAUUCAAAGUGUAUUCUUGAUUUUAUUUAGGGUUUUUGUCUGUGUUUGUUACAAACACACCAUCCACAUUUUCUACUAACCCGUUUUUCUUCUUCUAUUUAACUCUCCACAGUCCAUAAAUUAAAAGUUCACUAAUUCUUUGUGUUUUGUGAAACCUGACAAAAAUCAUGUUGGCCACCGGAAGGGUAGCAAAACAAAAGGAAAUAGCCCAAAGUACAAGGCGUGUUGCCAAUCAAGGAAAGGCAACUGUGCUUGCUCUCGGUAAGGCCUUCCCCAGCAAUGUAGUCUCUCAAAAGAAUCUCGUGGAGGAGUAUCUCCGUGAAAUAAAAUGCGAUGACCCCUCUAUCAAAGAGAAGCUGCAACACUUGUGUAACAUUCAUCAUUUUUUUAAUUUCCCUCUAAUUUCUUUUACAACCUUUUACGUCCGCCCUUGUAUGGAUAUAUAGUAAGCAUAAUACGUGAUAUGGCUUGGUGGUGUUAGGUAAAACCACAACUGUGAAGACACGCUACACCGUCAUGUCUAGCGAGACGAUGCAAAAAUACCCUGAGCUAGCAACCGAAGGUACCCCAACCAUCAAACAGAGGCUUGAGAUCGCAAACGAUGCGGUUGUGCAGAUGGCAUAUGAAGCGAGCUUGGCUUGCAUCAAGGAAUGGGGAAGGGGAGUGGAAGAUAUCACUCAUCUUGUCUAUGUUUCCUCCAGUGAGUUCCGUUUGCCCGGGGGUGACCUUUAC